UCAACCAAUUCUAACCACAAACACCUCUCAAAAACCACGGCACCAUCUUCAUUUCCUUUCCACUUCACAUCUCAAACCACAACUGCAUUUCAUUCUGCCUUGCUAGUGUCGACAAACCGAGAGAGCGAGAGAGAGGCCGAGCUGCACUCUGCAGCCGAGUGGAAGAAAAGAAACCGCAGGAUUGAAUGUUUUUGGUUCUGGCCGUGAGUUGGAGUGAAGCCAGGGAGAGCAAGUGGAAGUCGGAGGAGCUACUGAUCAUCACCAUUUUCGUUCACUUCAGACCAACAUUUCCCAGCUGCAACCAUCUUCACCACAACACCAUUUCCAGCUGCAAAUCGAACCAGGACCAACCAGUGUGCGUGAGAGCCGAGAGGGAGCAGAAAUUUUCCAGAUUUUCUUGCGUGAGCUUAGCUUGCUGUGAGGCGCACGCAAGGACCUUUAAGAGGAUCCGACAGAGGACGCUUGAACUUCAAAUUGAACCUAUUGCCCUUGUUUGACUAGGUUCUGACAACUGAGGAAGACUUGAGAUCUACUUGUACUUUAAGCAUGUAGUUUGAAUUAAACAAUGUAGCUUUUGUUUCGGGUCGCCACAGGUGGCUGGAAAAGUGUAACCCUUGAAUUUGUAUGUGGCUUGUAUGAAAUUUGUUACUUGGCUUAUAAGGAUGUAUUUGAGUUAUAUGUUUUGUUUCUUGGGUUGUAAUCGGGAAGGUAUUUUAAGAAUCGACGUUAGC